GGCGAGGUGGCCGAGUGGUCUAAGGCGCUAGAUUUAGGCUAUUAAUACCUUCAUCUCUAGUCCUCCGGGGCGUGGGUUCAAAUCCCACCCUCGUCA